rnacentral:rRNA from 1 species
AGUGAACGCUGGCGGUAGGCCUAACACAUGCAAGUCGAACGGCAGCACAGUAAGAGCUUGCUCUUACGGGUGGCGAGUGGCGGACGGGUGAGGAAUACAUCGGAAUCUACUUUUUCGUGGGGGAUAACGUAGGGAAACUUACGCUAAUACCGCAUACGACCUACGGGUGAAAGCAGGGGAUCUUCGUACCUUGCGCGAUUGAAUGAGCCGAUGUCGGAUUAGCUAGUUGGCGGGGUAAAGGCCCACCAAGGCGACGAUCCGUAGCUGGUCUGAGAGGAUAAUCAGCCACACUGGAACUGAGACACGGUCCAGACUCCUACGGGAGGCAGCGGUGGGGAAUAUUGGACAAGGGGCGCAAGCCUGAUCCAGCCAUACCGCGUGGGUGAAGAAGGCCUUCGGGUUGUAAAUCCCUUUUGUUGGGAAAGAAAAGCAGCAGGUUAAUACCCCGCUGUUCUGACGGUACCCAAAGAAUAAGCACCGGCUAACUUCGUG